UGCAGGACCGGCGCGAAGUGACAAAUCGUCGCGGUAGCGGAAGCACCUGGGAAGGUGCGGCGUAAGAGGGUGACACUCCCGUACGCGAAAACCGAGGCGACUUUCGUGGAUUGACACCUGAGUACCAUGGGGCACGAGCAACCCCGUGGGGAAUCCUGGGAGGACCACCCUCCAAGCCUAAGUACUCCUCGACGACCGAUAGUGAACAAGUACCGUGAGGGAAAGUGAAAAGCACCCCGACAAGGGGGAGUGAAAAUUAGGAACCUGAAAUCGGAAGCCUACAAGCAGUCGGAGCCCCCGAGCGGGGUGACGGCGUACCUUUUGUAUAAUGGGUCAGCGACUUCAUGUGCCGUGCAAGCUUAAGCCGAUAGGUGUAGGCGCAGCGAAAGCGAGUCUGAAUGGG
rnacentral:rRNA from 1 species